rnacentral:rRNA from 1 species
UGAAAGGAAAAACGGAAAGUAACUAUCUUAAACCAGUUAUUAAAAAUUACUUAGUAAGUGAAAAGUCUUAUAUAUAGAAAAAAGACGAGAAGACCCUAGAAAUUUUUAUAUAGUGUAUUAUAAUCUAUUAUUCUAUUUUGUUGGGGCGACAUAGUAACAGUUAACUUACUAUACACUAUAUGCUAUUUAUUAGUCGUAAGAAUAAAUUACUCUAGGGAUAACAGCAUAAUUCUAAUGAGUUUGUGACCUCGAUGUUGGACUA